UUACCGAAGAAAAAUCCGGAGAUGAGGAUGCCGGACUAAAACACAAAGCCCAUCAGCAAUGCAAAAUUCGAAGAAGUUUCUACCGCGAUACUUUUGCUUGAACUCCGUCGUUGUUUGUUUGUUUGUUUGUUUGUUCCUUGUCGAUGAUCGAAGAGGUGUGUACCACAUCUUCUGAACGAUCACCGAAGGGGACGGACGGACGGACVCVCGGACGGACAACAAGAGAGAAGCGGGAGAGAGGACAAAGGCCAGCGCUUGUAAAAACAGAAACACCUGCGAACGAUAUUUUUUAUUAUCCGAUGUCGGGCGAGUGGCGACUCGCCGAGGCGUCCUCCUUCUUCUUCUCUUUUCUCCAUCUCUGGUGGAUGAUGACUGAUUGAUUGAGGACGGSGCUCGAAGAAAAUGCGSACCCACCUUCAACCCCACUAAACUAUGAAUCUGAACUCAAAAGGAGGCAGCCUCUGGGCGUCUCCUCAACCUUUAAUGUUGUAAAACUUUCAGCGACGGAUGUCUUGGCUCCCACAACGAUGAAGAACGCAGCGAAAUGCGAUACGUCUUGCGACUUGCAGAAUCCAGUGAAUCAUCAAAACUUUGAACGCAUCUUGCGCUUCCGGGAUAUGCCUGGGAGCAUGCUUGUCGGAGUGUCUGCUGACACCACUCGCCAACACACCCGUUUGGUAUUUAUUUUCAAUAUCUAUCUGACGGGUGCCGUCGGCGGACUCUGCGUGUUCCGGAGUAAAACUCCGAGUGCACCUAAUCUCGUGAUAAAGAUGAACUCGGCCUUGAACGCACUAGAGUUGUUGACGGCGCCUCAGCGACUCUCACUCGUUUUUACGUGCCUCACGGUCUUGCGUCAUCAUCGUCCGGUCGGUCUGCUCUGCUCUGGAGCAGCCCUUCUACUUUCGUUCG
rnacentral:rRNA from 1 species